AUCUCUUUGGUAUAGGCAAUAGCAGACCCAAAGUUUCUGAUGUUGCAAAAGCCAUCAUAGCGUGUGAGGUAGCAGACGACAGGUUCAAAAGGCUUUGGUUGAUUUACGUUGUCUCCACGUGUCUUGCUCCCACAACUGAUACCAAGAUCAGCAACAAGUGUUAUCCUAUGCUGGCUUAUAUCAAUAGGAUGGGGGACUUGAAUUUAUGCAAAUUUGUAGCCGACCAGCUGCACAUGCACUUUUCUGAAAACAAGUUCAGGAAGGGGUGCCUCCUCUAUUGCAUGAUACGCUACGUAGAUGCGUUGGAUUGUGACCAUGUGGAGCUGGAAUUAGAAGAUGGCCCAUUCAGGAUCAAUGUGUGGAAGAGCGUCACUGUUGAUGCCGUU